rnacentral:rRNA from 1 species
AGCAUUCGCACGAGUUCAUAUACACAAGAUGAGGACAAGUUGAUUUGCCAAUGUUGGAUGGAGAUUAGCCAAGAUCCGAAGACCGGCGCGCAACAAAAGGGCCUUGUUUUUUGGACGAGAGUCCACAAAACUUUUCAUGAGAGGAAGAUGUUUGAGCCCUACCAAAUUACAAGCAACCGUGGCAUCACCUCGAUUCAAAAGAGGUGGUUGUUCAUCCAACAAGAGUGUAACAAGUAUUGCGCCGCAUUUGAGAGCGUUGAAGCACGGCCCGUGAGUGGUCUCGGCGUUGGGGACAUGGUAUGCUCGCCUUAUCCUAGCCCUUUUCCUUGCUACGGCCAUGUGGGACUUCGGCCUUGUAUAUGUUUGCAUGUUCAAUUGUUGUUGAUCAUGUGGUGUAGGCAUUUCAAUCUUUGGAAGCAUUCAAGGCCCGGCACAAUGACAAGCCAUUCACUCUUACGCAUUGUUGGACAAUCAUCAACAAUUGCCCCAAGUUCAAGGAUCAAUACCGUGAACUUCAAAGAAAGAGAGGCAAGAAGACGGCCAAGUACGCCGGAGGUGGAGAUGGCGAGGCGUUGA